CAGAUGUGAAAGACCCGGGGCGUCAACCUCGGAACUGCAUUUGAAACUAGGCAGACUAGAGUACUGUAGAGGGGGGUAGGAAUUUCAGGUGUAGCGGUGAAAUAGCGUAGAGAUCUGAAGGAAUACCGGUGGCGAAGGCGGCCCCCUGGACAGAUACUGACACUCAGAUGCGAAAGCGUGGGGAGCAAACAGGAUUAGAUACCCUGGUAG
rnacentral:rRNA from 1 species